GCAGUGGUAGUUGAGAGGUAGAAUUCUCACGUUUCACGUGGAAGACACAGGUUUGAAUCCUGUCCAGAGCA
rnacentral:tRNA from 1 species